GCUCGGGGAUUCAAUCUUGCAACCUUUCGGUUACUAGUCCAACGCUCUACCCACUAGGAUAUGCUGCAGCACCAAAUUGUGAGAACAGUGCGCAACACAUCACAUCCGGAGGACACUUUGACUCAUUCUGAUCUGAGUAAUUGUUUGAUGUUAUUAUUUUUAUUUUUUACUUCCAUUCGAACAACUUAAGUCUAUAUUUUGCUUGCCCGACUAUUUUGAUUUUCACUUGUCAUGUACAAGCUUUAAUGUCGAACCUUGCAAUUGGAUUGAUAUUUCCACACAGAGUAACACGUUACACUGUUUUUACAAGAUGUUGUGGAAAUGGAGGAGCCAAAAGAGUGUAUGGAGGAGGGUAUUUGUCCAUGUCUGUGCUUCACUUGCAGAUUACUGUAGUAAACCUGAGGGUGCAGACACCAGAAUGCUGCUGAUUCCUGACCGAGAGAGAUAUGAAAAUGGGGACAAAAUAGAUUAUGGAUGCCUUAGCGGCCCAAACACAGGCUCAAGAGGAAAAGCAACUUGCAAGAACGGAGAGUGGAGUAAGACAAUCGAGUGUCAAGCAUUUGCUAAAUGUGCGUUGUCAUUGCCACCAACAAGAGGAACCAGUUAUACACACCUGCUGACAGAAAUCUGUUCUUGCCUGAUGAACGUGUAACGGUGACCUGUACCUCAGGAUUCUGGAACUUUUUCUCAAGUAACACUGAAAAUACAAUAACAUGCAAAGAGGACGGAAAGUGGUCAUCUUCUACAGAUUGUGAACGUAUGUUCAUACUCAAAUCAAAACACAUUUGAUUUGUCACAUGAUUGGUAAACAACAGGUGUAGGCUAACAGUGAAAUGCUUACUUCCGGGUCAUUUUUCAACAAUGUAGAUUUAAAGAUAAAAAGUUGAAUGAAAAUAGAAAGUGACAAAUGGAGUACAAAGUUAAUAACAAAUAACGAUAAAACAAGUAAAAAAUAACAUGGCUCUAUACAGGGAGCAAUUGUACAACGUCGACGUGCAGGGAUACGAGGCAAUUGAGGUAGUUAUGUCCACGUAGGAAGGGGUAAAGUGACUAGGCAAAAGGAGAGAUAAUACACAGAAGCAUCAGUAUACUGUAGGUAGAGGUAAAGUGACUAGGCAACAGGAUUGAUAAUACACAAUAACAGCAGUAUACUGUAGGUAGAGGUAAAGUGACUAGGCAAAAGGAGAGAUAAUACACAGAAGCAUCAGUAUACUGUAGGUAGAGGUAAAGUGACUAGGCAACAGGAUUGAUAAUACACAAUAACAGCAGUAUACUGUAGGUAGGGGUAAAGUGACUAGACAACAGGAUUGACAAUAUACAAUAACAGCAGUAUACUGUAGGUAGAGGUAAAGUGACUAGGCAACAGGAUUGAUAACACACAAUAACAGCAGUAUACUGUAGGUAGGGGUAAAGUGACUAGGCAACAGGAUUGACAAUAUACAAUAACAGCAGUAUACUGUAGGUAGAGGUAAAGUGACUAGGCAACAGGAUUGAUAACACACAAUAACAGCAGUAUACUGUAGGUAGGGGUAAAGUGACUAGGCAACAGGAUUGAUAAUACACAAUAACAGCAGUAUACUGUAGGUAGAGGUAAAGUGACUAGGCAACAGGAUUGACAAUAUACAAUAACAGCAGUAUACUGUAGGUAGAGGUAAAGUGACUAGGCAACAGGAUUGACAAUAUACAAUAACAGCAGUAUACUGUAGGUAGAGGUAAAGUGACUAGGCAAAAGGAGAGAUAAUACACAGAAGCAUCAGUAUACUGUAGGUAGGGGUAAAGUGACUAGGCAACAUGAUUGAUAAUACACAGAAACAGCAGUGUAUGUGGUGAGUGUGAAAGUGUGUGUUAUCACUUGAACGUGCGGUAGCAGAGAGAACAGUCUAUGGCUUGGGUGGCUGGAGACUUUGACACAUUUUUGGACCUUCCUCUCUGAUGUACAGGGCCAUACUCACCACCCUCUGUAGCGCCUUGCUGUUGGGUGCCAUGCAGUUUCCGCACCAAGCGGUGAUGCAGUCAGUCAAGAUGCUCUGAACGGUGCAGCUGUUAAACUUUUUGAGGAUCUCAUGCCAAAUCCUUUCCUGUAGUUCACAAUAAGCUUGUUUGUCUUGCUCACAUUGAGGUGGAGGUUGUUGUCCUGGCACCACACUGCCAGGUCUCUGACCUCCUCCCUAUAGGCUGUCUCAUCAUCAUCGGUGAUCAGGCCUACCAUCAUGUGUCGUCACCAAACUUAAUGAUGGUGUUGGAGUUAUGCGUGGCCACACAGUCUUGCGUGAAUAGGGAGUACAUGAGGGGACUAAGCACGCACCCGAGGGGCCCCGUGUUGAGGGUCAGUGUGGCGGAUGUGUUAUUGCCUACCCUUACAACCUGGGGGCGGCCCCUCUCCGGAAGUCCAGGAUCCAGUUGCAGAGGGAGGUGUUCAGUCCCAGUGACCUUAGCGUAGAGAUGAGCUUGGAGGGCACUAUGUUGUUGAACGCUGAGCUGUAGCCAAUGAACAGAAUUCUCACACAGGUGUUCCUUUUGUCCAGGUGGGAAAGGGCAAUCAUCUGUUGAUCUGUUGGGGUGGUAUUCGAAUUAGAGUAUGUCCAGGGUUUCUGAGAUGAUGGUGUUCAUGUGAGCCAUGAUCAGCCUUUCAAAGCAUUUCAUGGCUACAAAUGUGUGCGUUACGAGACGGUAGUCAUUUAGGCAGGUUACCUUGGCGUUCUUGGGCACAGUGGUCUGCUUGAAACCAGAAGUAUGUGGACAACUGCUCGUCAAACAUCACAUUCCAAAAUCGUUAAAUGUCACGCCAUGAUCUGUUUCACAUGUCCUUGUGCUUGUCUCCACCCCCUCCAGGUGUCACUCAUGUGACACCUCUGUGCCAGUUCAUCUUGUUUGCCAAGUCAACCAGCGUUUAUCUCCUAGCUCCUAUUUUUUCCCUAGUCUCUGUUUUUUCCAAGUCCUCCUGGUUUUGACCCUUGCCUGUCCUGACACCAAACCCGCCUGCCUGACCAUUCUUCCUGCCCCGACCUCGAGCCUGCCUAACGCCUUGUACUGUUUGGAGUCGGACAUGGUUAAUGAACCCCUGCCUGUCUUGACCUCGAGACUGUCUAACACCCUGUACUCUUUGAACUCUGACCUGGUUUAUGAACUCUCGCCUGUACCCGAUCUGCCUUUUGCCUACCCCUUGGGUUAUAAUAAAUAUUAGAGCUCAACCAUCUGCCUCCUGUGUCUGCAUAUGGGUCUCGACUUGUGCCCUUAUAUUAAUAUGUUGUUGGUCCCCCCUUUGCUGCUAUAACAGCCUCCACUCUUCUGGGAAGGUUUUCUACUAGAUGUUGGAAAAUUGCUGCAUGGUAUUGCUUCCAUUCAGCCAUGAGAGCAUUAAUGAGGUCAGGCACUGAUGUUGGGUGAUUAGGUCUGGCUCACAAUCGGUAUUCUCUGAUUGAGAACCAUACUUCGGUAGCCCUUUUUUCCACCUGUCUUUGUGGGAAGUUGACUUUGUUUAGGGCACAUAGCCUUUAGCUUCACGGUUUGUUUCUGUAGUGUUUGUUUUGUUCGGCGUCAUUUUUAUUAAUAAAAGAAAAUGUACGUUCACCACGCUGCACCUUGGUCCUAUUCUUACGACAGCCGUGACAGGUACUGUAUUGUCAUGGUACUGGAUUAUGUUACUGUAUCAUGGUACUGUAUUAACAUGGUAUUGUAUUAUCAUGCUACUGUAUCAUGGUACUGUAUUAUCAUGGUACUGUAUCAUGGUAUUGUAUUAUCAUGGUAUUGUAUUAUCAUGCUACUGUAUUAUCAUGGUACUGUAUUAUCAUGGUAUUGUAUUAUCAUGCUACUGUAUCAUGGUACUGUAUUAUCAUGGCACUAUCAUGAUUAUGCUACUGUAUUGUCAUGGUAUUGUAUUAUCAUGGUACUGUAUUAUGUUACUGUAUCAUGGUAUUGUAUUAUCAUGGUACUGUAUCAUUGUAAUGUAUUAUCAUGGUACUGUAUCAUUGUAAUGUAUUAUCAUGGUACUGUAUCAUUCUACAGUAUUGUAUUAUCAUGGUACUGUAUCAUUCUACAGUAUUGUAUUAUCAUGGUACUGUAUCAUUCUACAGUAUUGUAUUAUCAUGGUACUGUAUCAUUCUACAGUAUUGUAUUAUCAUGGUACUGUAUCAUUCUACAGUAUUGUAUUAUCAUGGUACUGUAUCAUUCUACAGUAUUGUAUUAUCAUGGUACUGUUUCAUUCUACAGUAUUGUAUUAUCAUGGUACUGUAUCAUUCUACAGUAUUGUAUUAUCAUGGUACUGUAUCAUUCUACAGUAUUGUAUUAUCAUGGUACUGUAUCAUUGUAAUGUAUUAUCAUGGUACUGUAUCAUUCUACAGUAUUGUAUUAUCAUGGUACUGUAUCAUUCUACAGUAUUGUAUUAUCAUGGUACUGUAUCAUUCUACAGUAUUGUAUUAUCAUGGUACUGUAUCAUUCUACAGUAUUGUAUUAUCAUGGUACUGUUUCAUUCUACAGUAUUGUAUUAUCAUGGUACUGUAUCAUUGUAAUGUAUUAUCAUGGUACUGUAUUAUCCUGCUAUAGUGCCAUUUUAAUACAGUACGAUGCUACAAUCACGAUUAUGCUACUGUAUUGUCAUGGUAUUGUAUUAUCAUGGUAGUGUAUCAUUGUAAUGUAUUUUCAUGGUACGGUAUUAUGAUCCCUGUUUAAUCUAGCAAGCUGUCCUGAUCCUCCUCCCAUUACUAAUGGAGAUUUCACCAAGGAAGAGAGAGAUGUUGAUGGUGUAAUUACAGAGGUGUCCUACCAAUGCAGCAGACAGUUUACACUGAGUUUCACAGGCAGCAUCAGAUGUCUGAAUGGAAAAUGGCAGAGUCCUCCAAAGUGUUUACGGUCUUGUGAGAUUUCCACUUUUGAUGCAGAGUACAAUCUACAGAAUUUACCCAAGAAAGAUUAUACUGCGCACGGUGAAAAAAAGACUAUUCAUUGCAAAAAGGGAUAUUACCAUAAAUACAAGAGAAUUCUACCAAAUAUAGAAGAAAUUGAAGUGAAGUGUGAUGAUGGAGAGUUACAGUAUGGAGAACACAUACCUAUAUGUAGCCAUCGUUAUUCAUAGGUAGAUGAUGAACAUAAUGGAGUCAUGAUGUUCCCUCCAUCAAUUUCAAGAAUCCGUACAAAGCCGCCUUUUUAGGCAAGGAGAAGACCCAUUUGCUUUUGUGGUGUCUGUCACUUGUUUAAUUUAGAUUUAGAAGAAAUGUGAGCCAUCCAGUAAUGGAAUACGUGUCUUUUCAACAUUUGACAUUGUAUCAUCAUUGAAACAAAAUAACAGUAUCUUUCUCAGCUUCACUAUAAUAACAGUACAGCUAUCUAAAGCUAGACUAAAAUGGUACAUUUGUUAUAUUAGUACAAAGUGAUGUGAUUGUGUGAAUAUCCUUCUAUCAAGUUUAUAAAUUGCCUGGCUGGGCUGAUGAGACAGUGGAUUGCGCAGUCAGUUGAAACAGAGUAAAUAGGCAUUUUAACAUCAUAGAUUUAGCCAGUGGUAGCUUGUGGAAUAAGCAGCUGGAAUGCGGUCUUAACCAAUCAGCAUUCAGGAUUAGACCGGCACGCUCUAUAAUGUGUGAAUAUUCUCCUGUAUCUCCCAGCUGUGUGAUUCAUUACCUGAAGGUGUAAUAUAAGUGGACAAGUGGUAUUGUUAUGAUCGUGAUUGACCUUAUCCAGACAAUAAAGUUUUCCAAAACAGAC